rnacentral:tRNA from 316 species
GUGGCUGUAGCUCAGUUGGUAGAGCCCCGGAUUGUGAUUCCGGUUGUCGUGGGUUCGAGCCCCAUCAGCCACCCCA